rnacentral:rRNA from 1 species
CCUACGUGAGGCAGCAGUGAGGAAUAUUGGUCAAUGGGCGCGAGCCUGAACCAGCCAAGUAGCGUGAAGGAUGACUGCCCUACGGGUUGUAAACUUCUUUUAUAAAGGAAUAAAGUGAGGCACGUGUGCCUUUUUGUAUGUACUUUAUGAAUAAGGCUCGGCUAACUCCGUGCCAGCAGCCGCGGUAAUACGGAGGCUCCGAGCGUUAUCCGGAUUUAUUGGGUUUAAAGGGAGCGUAGAUGGGUUGUUAAGUCAGUUGUGAAAGUUUGCGGCUCAACCGUAAAAUUGCAAUUGAUACUGGCAGUCUUGAGUACAGUUGAGGUAGGCGGAAUUCGUGGUGUAGCGGUGAAAUGCUUAGAUAUCACGAAGAACUCCGAUUGCGAAGGCAGCUUACUAAACUGCCACUGACAUUGAUGCUCGAAAGUGUGGGUAUCAAACAGGAUUAGAUACCCGUGUAGUC